rnacentral:rRNA from 1 species
CACCGCCCGUCACACCAUGAAAGUCGGUUCUACCAGAAGUCACUGAGCUGACCGCAAGGAGGCAGGUGCCCAAGGUAGGGUCGAUGAUUGGGGUG